UAGGGAAUCUUCCGCAAUGGGCGAAAGCCUGACGGAGCAACGCCGCGUGAGUGAUGAAGGUCUUCGGAUCGUAAAACUCUGUUAUUAGGGAAGAACAAAUGUGUAAGUAACUAUGCACGUCUUGACGGUACCUAAUCAGAAAGCCACGGCUAACUACGUGCCAGCAGCCGCGGUAAUACGUAGGUGGCAAGCGUUAUCCGGAAUUAUUGGGCGUAAAGCGCGCGUAGGCGGUUUUUUAAGUCUGAUGUGAAAGCCCACGGCUCAACCGUAGAGGGUCAUUUGCAACUGGAAAACUUGAGUGCAGAAGAGGAAAGUGGAAUUCCAUGUGUAGCGGUGAAAUGCGCAGAGAUAUGGAGGAGCACCAGUGGCGAAGGCGACUUUCUGGUCUGUAACUGACGCUGAUGUGCGAAAGCGUGGGGAUCAAACAGG
rnacentral:rRNA from 1 species